GAUUUUUUUUCCUUUCCCUUCUUCUUUUCUCUCCCUGCCAUCCGCUUCGUCCUUCUCUUUCACUCACUCCCAUUUCUGCCACUGUCUACCACCUCUUCCUACCGCCACCACCUGCUAACUCUUUCUAUCGUCACCGCUUCUUCUAUUUUCCCCUCCCUCUCCGGCGACGCCAUCUUCUCCUCCUUCCUUGCUGCCGUCGACGAUUUGGAGGAACGAAAGUCUCCUCCCACGCUGCCGACACAAGACCAGCUGCCUGCCGUCCACUUACCGCCUAUCUGACGCAGAAAAUGAGCUCCCCACUUCCGACAAUGCCAAGUCAGCUCCUUCCUACUGUUUUUCCUCUGCCGACAGCCUCCUUAUAGCCUCAGUGGAGUAGAUUCUCCUCCUCUACGAUCUAGCAGUUUCGAACAAGAGUUAGAUGGUCAUUUUGGUGCCUUUGGACUCCCUGCAACUCAAGCUUUGCAGGCGCCUCUGGAUUUAAAAUCCAAUACCGUUGACAGUACUGACUUUCGGAUCCCAAUGUUUCCGGAACGCGUAGAAGUUCAGAUAAUCCGUCCGUCCAGCCGGUUCCACUCGUGGCAUAAGCGCGACAGAACUGUGAGUUAAAGUCAUAGAUCUUCUAUACAUUAUGCCAUACCAAAUUUUUAUGUAGCAAUUUUGAAUAAUAAUUAUUACAUAUAUUAUUAUCGUUGUGUCUA